UAGCUAGUACUAACUCAUUGCACUGUAGAGUUUUAAGAGAGGAGUAGAGGUCAGAAGCCUCAUUCCUCCAUUCCUUGUGUAUGUUUAUUAAAACUAAUUUUAAUGAAACAAUCAUACAUUUUGUUAAUUUCUUUGUGUUUUAAUAUAACAUAGCUAAUUCUUCAGCUUCCUGUAGGCUUCCUCUUAUCUAUGACUGAGUUGUGCUUGGCAUUUAAUUCUAUAUGAAGAAUAUCUGGCUACAUGGAUGCUUUCUGCGGGCUGUGAUACUGAGAGAAAAGUUCAUUUUCUUCAGGGAUGAUUACUUCUAUUUCAUCUUGCACUUGACAUAUUUACAUCUUAAUGAAACACAGUGUUCAAAACAAAUUAACCUUAUCAUCAGCACACCUCUCCCUGCUACUAUUACUAUAGCCUAAUUCUAGCAUACACUUUUGUAAGAUAUAUACAGAGCAUUUGUGCUUCUUGGGAUCAGUACCAGAAGGCAGGAAAUAUGCCUUGAGACAUGUUUAGCUCCAUGGAAUUUUCAAUUUCAUCAACUUUUAUUUACAUAAUUUCACAAAGAAAUCCAGUAUGGAGGGCUGGGAAUAUUCAAAUGGUUCCUGUGUGGACUGACAUUUUGGAAGGGGAAGGUAUGUGUGACCUUAGAGGGUUACAGAGUCCUUGUGCAGCACAGCAUUUCGCAGCUCAUUACAGCUUAACAGACCUGUUAGGUGUUGGUCUCUGAGCAGGACUCCCAGCCUGGAUUGCAGACUCAUAUCUGUGUCAUUAAAAUAAUAACAUGUCAAGUAGGGGUUUCGAUGUGUUUGCUUUCUUCCUCAUAUGCCAUGGCAGAAUGACUCUGUGGAGUAAUUCUGUAGCUUGAUAUUUUGUGACCAUAAUCAUACCAAUUCUUAGGACCUGAAUUCUCAAUAGUGGUUGAAAGGAACAGUACUGCUUUGAGGCAGAAAGUAAGAACUGAAGAGUAGAAAUAAACUGUCACUUGUCAAGCAAGAUGUUGAAUCAUGGGGUCCCUUUUAAUAUUUAGCAAGAAUAGAGACUGUUGAAUGCUUGUUUGUACGAAAGAAAUAGGAGAGCACAGUAUUGUCAAUGUUGCUGGAAGAUACAAUGUUGUUUCACUAUUUGAGAUACCUAUCUGGAAACUCUGGGAGCACCACAAGUGUGUAGAAGACCUGCAAAUCAGGCAAUGGCAGCUCUUCGCAACAAAACUUUUCUAACUUGACAGUCACUAACAGUGUAGGUUGCCAUUGACCAAUUCUCAAUUGUUAACAAUCAUUACCAUAAGUUAUUCACAACAGUCAAUCCUUAAAAGUCAUAUCCUGCAUUAUCUUUGAGUUUACAACACCAGGAAGCUAUGUCUUAAAGUCAGAUCUGAUAGGUAAUACAGAGGUAGUAGUUGGUCUUUGGCAGCGUUAGUUGGCAAUACAUAUCACUGUGAGCAGUGCUACGCAGAGUAAAGGAUGUUUCAACUUCUCAUACUGUCCUGCCAGCGAGGGGCUGAAGGAGCACAGGAAGCUAGGAGGGGACAACUCUCUGCACACCACUGUAGUUUCCUUUAAUCUCUCUUCCUGGAGCCUCUUAGAAGAUUUGGAUCUCCUCACCUGACAUUAGCUUCAACCUUCAUAAUUUUAUGGGUGUCAUUUUUCUUUUCUUAAAAAAAAGUGUUUUCAGGGUAUAUAUAUAAUUCUUUGUACUUAUUUGCUCCUUGUUAUUUUUGUUCUUGUUUUUGGCUCGGUAUUUUUUCCUCUCUCACUCUUUUUAAUUUUAGUGAGAUAAAAUAUCUUAAUGCAUUACAGUCACCUCACUUUUGCUUCUGUGAAAUCUUGGAAUAUUUAGUGGAAAGGUUUUAAACUCUUGCUCAUGUAGGCUGUACAAAAGAAAAUGGCUCCAGUUCAAAACUGACAACCAUUAAAACUAGUAAAAACCAUAGAAAUGCAUGUCCAUAUUAUUAGUUUUGGACACUAACAGACUUUUAUUUUUAGAAAUGUUCUGACUGUAGGAUUUGAGCUUUCACAAUUAUUUGCACAGAGAUAUUUAUCUGAAAAUAUCAUUUACAAAGCUUUACCCUAGUUAAAUAUAUGGCCUUGGAUUAUCAUCUUCCAUAAGCAGUCUAAAUUCAUAAAGUAGACAUUUUAGUGAUUAUAUCACAAGGGCUAUGAGCUGAGAUCAUGUACUGGCCCACUCAUAUGUCUCUAGGUAAUUUCUCCUUUUUUUUGUUCUUUUUUGUUGCUGUUGUUAUUGUUUAUUUUGUAGCAGGGAGUCUAAAAUCAUAAAAAAGCACAGUUAUUCCACUUCUAACUUUAGAAAAUUGAACCUUCUUUCUAUUUCUGCCAUUACUGUCAUUAAUAAGCUUCUGUACUUUUUACAAAUAUUUUAACCUACAAUCUUGUUUGUUUCAAAGGUGAAGACCUUGAAAUGCCAUGCAGUUGGUUACAUGGUUCUUAAUCAUGCUAUCAAAGUGAUUGCCAGGAAUUUAAUCUUAUUAAGCAGCUGCAAGUUCUAAAACCACAGCUGUUAAGAACAGUAAUUGCUAGAAACUGGAAGGAAAAUAAACAAACUAAUAACAAACAACAGAAACAACAUCAACAAAUAGAUAACAGCAACCAAACAAACGAAAAACCCACUUUUCAUAAAUUUCAGUAUAAAAUUGGACUUAUGUUUGAAUUCAUCUGGUGACUUCAAAACCAUACCCCCACUUGAUGUGUUGCUCAGGAUUUGAUACUUUCAAGACUGUGUGAAUCAUUUAAGACAAAAAGAUAUUUAGGGGUCAGCCUCUUCUUCUAUGUAACUAGCACGUAACUAGCAAUAGGUUUAGAGGAAAUGUCCUCAAGUUGUACAAGGGGAGAUUCAGAUUGGAUGUUAGAAAAAAAUUACUCUAAGAGUGGUUGGGCACCAGAAUGGGCUGCCUGGGGAGGUAGUGGAGUCACCAUCCCUGGAGGUGCUCAAGAAAUGUUUAGGUGUUGUACUGAGUGACAAGUCGAAAAUACUGGCGGUAGGUGGACAGGUAGACUGGAUGAUCUUGGAGGUCUUGGUGAUUCUAUGAUUCUAAAUAAUAGAAUCUUAGAUUCACUUAGGUUGGAGACAACCCUUAAGAUCAUCAAGUCCAAUCAGCUUCCUAAUGUUACAUGUCCGCUAAAAGCCACUUUCAGAUACCUCUUAAAUAAACUCCCGCAGGGAUGGGAACUCUACCGCCUCCUUGAGCAGUCUGCUCCAGUGCUUGACCAUCCUCUCCAUGAAUAAAUUCUUCCUAAUCCCAUUUAAAUUUCCCCUUGAGCAGCAUGGGACGAUUUCCUUCCUUCCUAUCUCUUGUCACCUGAGAAAAGAAACUGACACUUUUUCUCUGCAGCUUCCCUUCAUGUAGCUGCAGAGGGUAUUGAGAUCCUUCCUCUGCCUCCUUUUCUGCAGAUUGAAUAGCCCCAGUUCAUUUAUAAGCUCCUCAUUUGUCUUGUUUUCUAGUCCCUUCACCAGCUUUGCUGCUCUUCUCUGCACACACUUGAGUAACUCCGUAUCUUUCUUGUAGAGAGGGACCCAAAACAGCACAGUACUCAAGGUGUAAUCUCAUCAGUGCCAAGUGCGGAAGGACAAUCCCUUCCCUAAUCCUGUUUGCCACAGUAUUUCUGAUGUAAGUAUGCCACUGGCUUUCUUGAUCAUGUGGGCAAACUACUGACUCAUAUUCAGCUGGCUGUCAACCAGAACCCCAAGGUCUUCCUCUGCCAGACAAUUUUCCAGCCACACUUCUCCAAGCCUGUAGCACUGCAUGGGAUUGUUGUGACCCAAGUGCAGCAGCUGGCACUUGGUCUUGUUGAAUGUCUUGUGAUUGAGCUUGUGUAUUUUCUAUUCAGAAGUGACUACAUUACUGACUCAAGCCUUAUCUGUAGGUCUUUGCUAUUUCAUUGGAAACAUUAUAUUCUGAGAGGAGCCCAUUAAAAUGAACAGUAUGUUUUAUGCUCAAAGUGGCACUAAACUUGCAAAUGAAAUUGUGGCAAAGUACAUAAAAAAGACAGGAAAAUUAAAUUAUAUGAAUUUAGUUGGUAAGAGGCCUUGAUGCUUUUUCCAAAAUAUAUUUCUAGCAUUCCAACUCCAAUAUUAAAUGUUCCAUUUAAAAUGUAAAUAGAAGUACUACCGUACUUUGACAAAAUGUCUCUAUUGAUUUUAUUUUUUCAUUGAAAAUCUGAAUUUUUGAUAUUUUAUUUAUGUGAUAUGUUUCACUAAUUAUAUCUGGUUGCUUAGUUUUUAUUUUUUUAUUUUUUUUUAUGGAAAAUGAUUUUCUAGUUCUCACAUUGAAAGAUGUAGGUUAACCUGUCAAAUUGAAGUGCACUUUACCACAUGUUUCUGAACUGCUCAACGUGACUUUUCUUUUUCUGGGCUUGCUUGGACUAGUGAGAUGCAAUCAAUAAGGCAGGUAAUAGCAUGUCAUCAAGAAUGCAGUCCACUGAGAGAGACCAAUUUCAAGGAAACUAGACAGCAGGAGUACUUUGAACUUUCAUUGAGCACUGCAGCAGGAAAAACUAACGCAACUUAAUUUUAAGCUGCCCCGAUAGAGUUUCUAUUGUCCAACUAACUGAUCUAUUUAAAUUUAUUUGGAGUAGUCCUCAUCAACUUUGAAGUUAGAUUCUCUGAUGGACAUACCUGGGUUUAGUCUAGAUGGCUUUCUUCCCAAUGUUUCAGUGAGUGAUGAAAAUUCUCCUAGCACUAUGGAUUGUAUUUUAGCACUUUGCUUAUUUACUGAACCAAUUCUAUUGAUUUUUUGUACUAUGCAUUUGGGCACUUGACACUGAUUACCAAAAUGCUUUAUAGAGAUAAUUUAUCCACUUCACAUAUAUUGAGUGGGAUUGUGGAGACCAGGGGAAGUCCUCAAUGACUGGACCAAGAUAAAUGUUGCAUCUUCCUUUGAAAAAGGCCAACAGUUCAACCUAGGGAACUUCAGGUUGGUCAGUCUGACUUUUGUUCCUAGGAAAACCAAGGAAUGAGUUGUCUUUGAGCAUAUUUUUUGGGUGCAUGAAGAAAAGAAAAUUGUCUAGAAAUGGACAUUAUGAAUUUGCCAAGAGUAAAUCCUGCCUACACAAUCUCAUUACCAUCUAUGUGUGAUAAAAUAACUGUACAGAGAGAUGAUGGGAGGACACUGGGUUCCAUUUACAUCAACUUUGGCAAGACUUUUAAACUGUUGCUGGAUUAAUCUUGUAUCCAAAGAAAUGGAUGGACAAAUAGAUGGAUUGAGUGGCUGGAAGGGUAGGCUCACAGAGUUGUAGUUAAUAGCCCAUAUUCUACCUGGAGGUUGAGACAGAUGGACCACAAUGAGGGGCUAUCCUGGGACAUAACCUGCUUGUCUUCUUUAUCAGUGCCAUGGAGGAGCUGAUGGCGGACACCUUCAUCUAUAUUGCAGACGAUUUCAGGGAAAACUCAGUGUGCUUGACAGCGGGGUGACCAUUCACAGAGGCACAGAGAAUUUGGAGGAAAGAGACAAUUUUUUAAAAAGUCAGCAAAUGCAAAGUCUUGCCCCUGGGAAGGAAGAACUUGUAUCAGUACAGGUUGGGAAUGCCUGACUAGGAAGCAGCUCUGUGAGUAGGGCACUAGGGGACCUUGGUGUGUAGUAAGCUGAGUGUGAUCCAGCAGAGGCCCUGGCAGUAUCAAGGGCUAUCAGCAUCCCAGACUGUAUUAACAGGAGCACAAUGUGCUGAUGGAGGAGAGGGAUUAUAGCCCUCUACUCACAUUCAUCGUGUCUAGACUAUAGCAGACUUGUUUCAGAUUUCCUAGUACAUGUAAAACAUCAAUAAAUAGGAAUAAGUUUAUUGGAGAUCAAAAAGAUAGUGAGGGCUGGAUCUCUUGCUCUGUGAGGAAAGGCUCAGGGAGCUAAACUUAGUAAGAGUGAGGAAGAAAGGGCUCUGAGGGGGGUGGGGGGCCUAAUAGCAUUCACUAGUGCCUGCAAGGAAAAUAUUAAGAGGACAGAGUGAGGCUCUUUACAGCAGCGCAAAAUAUAUUUAUCGACUGAAUGAGCAAGGUAGAGAAAUUUAAGGCUAUGUUUUUCUCAACUUCCCAGUCCAUAAAGUACACAUUAAAAUCUUCAUAUGGUCAAGACCUGUUAGUAUCAUGACUUAUAUUACUGAGACCUGAGUGGAUAGGAAGUGCUGUAAGUAAAUGACAGGCAGAAGAUGCUAGCUCUUCAGAGUUUCAUGGAUUCCUUGAAAUGGGAAAGGAUGAAAUGGAAUCCUCAAGUACUUACUUACUGGCUCAUCAUUACCCACAGUCAAGUGUCUUGAUUAUACUGUGCUCACAUCCUGUUUCAGGCCUUGUGCUGUUCACGUGAGGCCCUCUUGAACUCUUUGAAAGCUACAGUUUUGUCACUACUGUCUUAGGCAACAGGAAUUUUAUUAUUUGAGCUGCAUAUGAAGCCAAACUCUGUAAAGAUGUUUUGCAUGAGGACAUGCCAGUUCUGCUCAGGGAAGAUAAAUGAAUUUAUCUGUUUACUUUUUUUUUUUCAAAUACAUUGGUUUUGCAUGCUGUAGGCUCAAAAGUGCUGUGAAAGAUCAUGCCAUUCUAUUUUCAUUGAUUUCUGAAACUUUUUUCUUAAUCUGUAGUUAUCAUUUCCUUACAGAGUCAUCCUCCCUUUUCUUUCCUCUCAAAAACCCCACAAAAAUAUUUCUAUUCAUUUUUUUAAAUAUUACACGAACGGUAAACAUUUCAAGUCCAUAAGUUUUUUCUUUAUAAUCUGACAGCUCUUUAUUUUCAUUUAUCUUUACAUUAAUACAAAUCUAACUGCUGAAUUUAGUUCAAAAUGUCUUAGUGAUCAAAAGUGCUCUUGGCUUUAGACAAUGUCAGAAGAGAGGUCUUUCCACAGAGCUUGUGCUUGGCCAAAGUGUCAGGUGCAUUGAAUAAAAUAUGCUACUUUCUGUGAUAAACUUGUGUACAUGCUUCUAUUCCUUUUUGACACUUAUUGCAGUGAAAAUGUGAAUACCUCUCUAGAAAAAUAAUUUUACAUAAUUUUAUAUUUGAAAUUAUGGAAGUAUCUGUAAAAUAACUGCUAAAUUACUUCCUGUGGUUAAGAACUAAUGGAAUUUUCUUUAAAGCUGCACUGGGCUGUCAGAAGAGAAUCUAUGGAUAUGUUUUUGUUGUACCUUUUUACAUUUGUCUUCAGGGCCUUGGAAAGAUGACUGAUCUGAGCCACAUGAAUAUUUUGUCUGUGUUAGGACUGGGAAAGAUUGAAGACUGCCAGUGCAAGCUCCUCUUGCAGAGCUGGAUAUCAAUAGGACAGGACUUAAACACCUAGGGAAAAGGGCACUCUGCACAUCAGAAAUGGAAGCAGUGCUAAGAACUAUCUGGACCCAGAAGACUGUUUUCUUUAUUAAUUGGAUAUGACAUAGUAAAGCUUUGUUUCAUCUUUGCUUGGGGAUAUAGAAAAGUGAUAAAGUAUCACCCUUCAAAAUACUUUUUAUUUUAGAAGAUAUUUGCAAAGUUUGGUUCUUACCACAGGUAUUUUGAUGACUUAUAAAUUCCCAGAGAUCUUAAUUGUAUCAUUAAUAUAAAAGUGAUAAAAUCUGCAAAUGAAUGAAUGUCUAACCAAUUGAGUGAAGUAUUCAGUGUGUAAAAAGAAUCUAUGACACCGUUGAGCUGUAAGUGAAUAUAUAAAUUAAAUAGCUUCAGUUAUGAAAAGACUUGUGUAAGAAGUAAUUACUUCUUGCUUUCUAUAAGCUGACACACUUAGUAUUUCUUGGCCAUCACAGAUUUUUCAAGAAAUUAUUACGAAGAUGAGAAGGAUAGCAAACUGCUAGCAAGUUUUUUUUUGUUUAGUUAUAGCUCUUCUUUGGAUCACUUAAAAAGGAAAGCUAAUAUUUUAAUUGUAUUCUGCUCAGUAGGAAUGAUAACUGGGUUUAACAUGAACUCAGUUUAAAAUGGCAAUCAACACAGUAAGUUCUUCCACAAUGCAUGUGAAUUAUAAAACUUAUGUCAUCGAAGCAAGCCAUACAUUGCUUACUCUCUCAAUUGGCAUGAGAGGAGCCAAGAGAAAAUACUUUAGACAAUAGUCUGAAAGGGAUUCUCUAAAUAGAAAUGGCACAUAUUUAAUGUCUCCUUAAGGAAUUCAAGAUCAGAGUAGCAUCCCUUCAAAGGGAGUCCCCACAAUUCAGGGUAGAAGAGCUAUUCUUUGUUACCAUGAUUUAGUCCUUAAUUUAAGAUUUGUCUUACUUUUCUCCAGAAAAUAAUAAUAGUAAUGAUAUAUAUAUGAUAUAUAUUUACAAAACAAUGCAAUUGCUCACCACCUGUUGACCAGUGCCCAACCAGUCCCUGAGCAGUGGCUGCCCUCCAGCCAACUCCCCAUAUUUUUAGUUUUUUUCACAUCAUAUCAUACAGUACAAGAUAUCCCUUUGGCCAUUUUAGGUGAGCUGUACUGAUUCUGUCCACUCCAAGCUUCUUGUGCUCCUUCAGCCCCUUUGCUGGCACAACAGUACAAGAUGCUGAAAAACUGAAACAUCCUCAGCUCUGUGCAGCACUUCUCAGCAAGAAGUUGAAAUAGCCCUGGCUUUGCAAAGCUGCUGCUCAGCAACAGAUAAAACAUGAGUGUGUUAUCAACAUUGUUUUUCUCCUAAAGCCAAAACGCAGCCAGUGUCAUACCAGACACUGUGACAAAAAUCAACUUUGUCCCGGCCAAAACCAAGACAAGGCACUCUAACUAAGCUUUUUUUCAGACAUUGAACAAUGUGUAUAAAAAUAAUCUCCUAGCUUUCUUUGAUGGUUUCUUAAUAGUAAACCCAAUCUCAGUGCACAAGCUUGCUCCCUCAGCUCUCCCCAUCACAUGAGCUUCCUCUGCACCUCUGACUAACUCAGCUUUCUGCAGGGAGGAUUGGCUGAGUAGUCCCAUACACCUACUCCCAGGGUCCCAUCCAGACUUAAACCUGGCAAAAAAAUUUAAGUUCUCCAAGAACCAUACGGACACGUUGAAACUUGCCUGAAAAUGAGAUUGCUGCCUUAUGGAUUCAGUCAGAACAUUUUUUGAGGGGGUGUGGAUUGCAAGGGGUGGUGUGAACAAAGCCAAAACCAGACACAGAAACAAAAUGAAGAAUAAAAGUCAUGGUGUACUAAUCAGCAAUUCAUUCAGCUUCUUCGAACAUUGAGGAGAUAAGUAGAUCGUGUUGACUGAGAGAGAGAAAUAUAAUAAAUAAAACAAAUUUCCAGAGCAGCAAAUUUUUUUGUGUCUGAUUCAGACUUCAAAAGCCACAGAUUCCCUCUUUAAAAAACAAACAAAUAGAAAACUUUCCUGUUUAUUUCUCCCAAGGGCACUGGCAGUCCCCAAGGUUUCUUAAAACUAAAGAACUGGAAAACAAACUAGACUGCUCACUUAAUAGACCUUGUUCAUGCUGGAUUGUGACUUACUUCCCCAGCAAAAAAAUUGCCAUUCUUCUUGGAGAGUUUGGGUCAUGGCUCACUGUGAACUAGAACAGCAAAACAGAAAACUAGAUGGAACAUCUUUGGAAUCUCUUCCCACCCAUUCAAAUGCUAGUUAACAGAGAGAGAAUGCAAAAUUUAGUUUUUCUCCUGUAUGGUAACUGUUGAGUCACGACCUGAACCACUGAUUGAGCACCUGGGGAAAGGACCUGGUCAGCCCUGAGAGCACAGGUGAAGGCAAAGGCAAAGGAGUGGAGCUUGGCUGCUCUUCUCUUAGACCUCAUUUAACAGCUGACUGCCACUAAGGAAGGAUCUCUUUCUGGAGGUUCCUCCUUUGCGUUUUCUCCUGGGAACCUGGAUCUUUGGAGAUGGGUGAGCAGUCCUUUCUCCUUUCUUUAUAACGCCUUUCUGUAGCCUUGGUCCCUCUGUCAUCGCACCUCUUGUAUCACCUUUCCAUUGUGUUGGUUUUUCUGACUGUUACAUCUGCUAGCAAAGUAGUUGAGCCUUACUGACUUUACACUGCCUGAAUUAAGUCACUUGUAACAUUUCAGAUCAGGUGAGAAAGGCAGCUUCUGACAGGAAAAAUCUUGGGAAUUCAUGAGACUCAACUAGUUUCAGAAUCUAAAUUUACACCAUGACCAGUCUCAGUGCUGAGCAAGUCAAGAUUUUGGAAUAUUUCCAGAGUAUCUGCAUAUGGGCAUACAGUUAUGUGCAGUCAGGUUUUGACAACACUAGGUUGAUAGUUAAGUUUCUGUAAUCGUUGAGUGUUAUUGACUAUAAGUUGCCUCAUUUUACCUCAUGGUAAAAUAUACUACUACAUGCCUUAGCUAAACAGUUUUAGGAGGUCCAUUUUUCACCUGGGACAUGCCAGGAGUACACGGGCAUGGGCUAAGCUGAUGAACACUAAUAACUCAAAACCAUUGCCAUUAUAACUCAGAAAUGUUAAAUACUGUUUGCACCUUUUUUUUGAUCUUGCAACACCAAAGCAUUAUUCAGAUUGAUUCUCUCAGCCUCAGCUUAUCUCCACCUCUAGCUUCCUCUUUUUCAAGCUCAGAAACUGUUAAAAAAAAAAAAAAAAAACAAUGUGAAGAAACACAUUUUCUCAGAGGGAGGCACAUGAAGCAAAGAAGGCUUUAAUCACUACUGCUUUGCCUUUUUCAGAUGGGAGUUAUUUCAUUUAUACAUGCCCAUAGAGGUGAAUGUUGCUGUGGGUGAUGUAACGUGUGAGCCCUGAUUAUGGCUCUCCACCCACCGACUGUACAGCAGCACUCACCUUGUUCUUAGCUAUUCUUAUGCUACAGGGGGCUCUCUACCUUUGUAAGUUGAUUUAAAAAAAGAUUAUGGAAGGAGAACAAAGAGUCUUGAGAAAAUCUCUUCUUGCUUUCUUGUGUUUCAAAGAUACACAAUUUGUCUUGGAAAUAAAAUGUAAGUGUCACUACUCCUUGUAGUGCUUCUCCCCUUUUUCCCUGAAGAGGGGAAGUAGUAGAAACUAAAACUAUAUAAUCUUGACUGUAGUUUAAAAUAGCUAGUAUAAUUAGUCCAAACUAUCACUGCAAGAAAGCACAUACAUCAGUGAAAUAACAUCUGCCAUUCAGUGCCUAAGCUUAAACAUGAUCUGUGCAUCAAAAAACUCUUCAAGUAAUUUCAGCGCAGUUUAAUAUCACUAACACUGAAGUAUGCAAACAAAAGCAGACUAGUUCCAAAACAACAGCAGCAAUAAUAUUCCUACUGUUGUUACUUAGUAUCUAUGGACUUUGUACAGAUUUUUUAGAAAUCAAGCCUCUUGUAGACCCAACAUCAGUAAGACUCAUACUAUGGUUUAAUGUUAUACAUACUGUACAUUACAUCAGUUUAAUUUCACAUGUACUAAAAACACUGUGUGAAGAUUGAGAUUUUGCUGUAUUUUUAGGAUGAUUUUAAUAUUUGCUGCUCGCAGAACUAUUAAUUAAUUUUAAAAGCAUUUCAACUUGGACAUCUGAAAACUGAGUUACCAUGCAAACUAUGUCAUAUCAUGGCACUUUAAAGCAGCAGUGCAAUGUCUGAGACCCCAGGUGCUCCAGCCUCAUUUCACAGUGAUAAGGUACAUGGAACAGUGGCCACCCUUUGUUUUAUGCUUUCACGUUACCAUGGUGGAAUCUAGAGGUGCUACAGCAGCAUGGUCUGCCAGGCAGACUGUGGUAACUUUAUUGCUUUCUUGCCAACAAAUACUGCAUGCUGAUAUCCUUCAGGUCAUUUGAGAAUGGAACAAGUUAAAAUAUGACCUCUUCAUGCUUCCAGUCCUUUCCUGGGUUGUUUUGGUGUAGCUGUAGAACGUUACAAAUUGGGGACCGCGGUUUUGUGACACAAGGAAAAGAGAAUUAGUUCUUCUGCUUAAUUUUAUUUUAAGGGAAGGUGGGAGAAGUAUCGAUCAGAUUACUGCCACUGACAAAAGGCAGAAGGCCAGUCACCUCAUGGGUGUGUAUAACUAUGGGGGAUUCGCUUGCAACCCUCUAUGGAUACCUGCAUCCUCUGCUCCCUUUUCUUCUCUGAAGCACUUGUAUACCAAUGCACACAGCAUGAGGAAUGAACAGGAGGAGCUAGAGAUCUGUGUGCAAUUACAAGGCCAUAACCUCAAAUCCGUCUUGUCUAUGCAACGUUUGUAGUGGUGCUUGGCACAUACUGGCCCCUAGACUGGACCUGAGGAUUGUACCAUGUUUAUUUAGCUAUGUCACUGUAGUCACAGGAAUUGUGCUGAGUUGUUGCUCCAUUAGCAUAGUCUACUUCCAGAACUGCAAAACCUAUCUUAGCACCUCCCGGACCUCUUUUUCUACAGAGAAGUCACACAGGGGUUAGUGCACUAAGGGGCUUAUGCCUAUGGUGCACUAGCUCCUGGUGGGUCUGUGUUCCACUGUAUUUGCCACUGGCUGGCUGCUAGUCUGCAGCUGCUUUGGAUAGUUCUUAAUUUAUAAUACCAUUCAAUGAUACCGUCCACAUAAAAUCCACAUCACUUAAGUAAUACAUAUUUGGAAUAAUUGCCUUUUUCUCAAAAGGGCUAUUUCCCUAGGGCUGUGUUAUCUCAGUGAAGCAGCAUGUUUCAUGCCUAAACUCUACUGUUUCAGUGCAAUUGUAGUACCAUCUUUAAAUGUAGUUUCCAAAUCUACGUGCUCAUCAGGCCUAUCCUGGCACAAAGCUUUACUAUGAGUCAGCUCCUCUGCUCUCCAGUAGUUACCUGUAUUCACUCACAGUCUUCUUCUGUCUUAUCAAGAGAAGUUGCUUUUACUGCCCUUCUGCCUCUUGUACUCUCUGCUGCUGAUUACUUUAAAAAAGGUGUACUUCAUACUUCCUGUCAACAUCAAUAACACAUUUUUGAACAAGACAUUCAAUUCAACCAGAACAGAGAUUGUAUAAAUUCCUGUGACCUUUCAAUGCUUCAGUAAAAUUAAACAUCAAUAAUAGAUGUUUUGUGAUUCUGAUGAGAUGACACAUUUCUGAUUCAGCAAUAUUCAAAGAUUUUCUGUACUGGGAUAAGGACUGUCAGCUCCUGACAUUCCCACUGGUCAGUGGGAAUUACUGAAGCAGUCUCAUACCAGGUUCUGCCAAUGAGUUUUGCUUUAUGGCAUCUGACAUCUGCAGGAGUGCUAACAAAACCUAUAUUUCUCAAACAUAAACAUUUACAGGAUCUCUGCUUUUAGAAGGUAUGUUUAAGUUGUCAUGACAUCCAAAGAACUAGUAGUUUGCCAGAUUUGGUUAUUCUCAUUUUAUUUUUCUCAUAAGGAUAUUUAUAUUCUCAAAUCUCAAUUUUAAUGUCAGGGAACAAAGAGAAAAAACAGGGAAUUCCCUUCUGAGUACACCUGAAUUUCUAAUAGCAGAAUCUUGGUAGUUUUUCACACUCACUGUACCUCCAACUGGCUCAAGAACUUCGAAUGCCUCCAUAUGGUGGAAAAAAUUACACCCCAGCUGUGCUCUUGUGUUCAAAUUUCUGUUAAAACUCAAAAUGUGAGGCUCAUGCCACCCUAUUAUCAAAGCUCAAAAGGCAAACACUCCUUCCCAUGCUAUUUAAAAUAAUACCAGAAUUUAAGUGUGAUUGAUUUAGAACUCUUUUGUAAAUCAGUGAUCUAUGUUAAAGAACUGGUUUUCUGUUGAUUCUGGGUUUGAGCAAAAUCAAGAUUAAAAAAGAUAUGAUAAAAUACUUUACAAUUUACCAUAAUUUAGGAAUAUUUUAACAAGAUCUUUACUGUGCAGUUAUUCCCUAUUAUUCUGUAUUCUAGACCUUAUAUUCAUUUGUACACUAAAGGAACGAUGUAUUCAGAAUUGUUGAUGUUUUAAAGUAUUAGUUCUUUGCUUACAUUCUUGCUAGUUGUUUGGGAUUCCUACUGUUGUUUAUUGGUAGGAAUUUCAUUUUAUCUCAUGCUUUAUUUUUGCUGUUUUCUUUUCCAAAAUGAUCUUAGAGACAAAGCCUGUUAUAUUGCUGUUCAUGUCUGUAACAGUUAAGUAAAUAUAUAUAGUAACCACA